AUUGAACGCUGGCGGCAGGCCUAACACAUGCAAGUCGAGCGGAUGAAGGGAGCUUGCUCCUGGAUUCAGCGGCGGACGGGUGAGUAAUGCCUAGGAAUCUGCCUGGUAGUGGGGGAUAACGUCCGGAAACGGGCGCUAAUACCGCAUACGUCCUGAGGGAGAAAGUGGGGGAUCUUCGGACCUCACGCUAUCAGAUGAGCCUAGGUCGGAUUAGCUAGUUGGUGGGGUAAAGGCCUACCAAGGCGACGAUCCGUAACUGGUCUGAGAGGAUGAUCAGUCACACUGGAACUGAGACACGGUCCAGACUCCUACGGGAGGCAGCAGUGGGGAAUAUUGGACAAUGGGCGAAAGCCUGAUCCAGCCAUGCCGCGUGUGUGAAGAAGGUCUUCGGAUUGUAAAGCACUUUAAGUUGGGGAAGGGCAGUAAGUUAAUACCUUGCUGUUUUGACGUUACCAACAGAAUAAGCACCGGCUAACUUCGUG
rnacentral:rRNA from 1 species